CCUACGGGAGGCAGCAGUGGGGGAUAUUGCACAAUGGGGGGAACCCUGAUGCAGCGACGCCGCGUGGGUGAAGGAGCGCUUCGGCGCGUAAAGCCCUAUUGGCAGGGGAGAAGAUGAGGGUACCUGACCAAGAAGCGCCGGCUAAUUACGAGACAGCAGCCGCGGUAAUACGGCGGGAGCAAGCGGUAUCCGGAUUUACUGGGUGGAAAGGGGGCGCAGACGGCAAUGCAAGCCAGGAGUGAAAGCCACGGGCCCAACCCCGGGACUGCUCUUGAAACUGCAUUGCUGGAGUGCAGGAGGGGCAGGCGGAAUGCCUGGUGUAGCGGUGAAAUGCGUAGAUAUUAGGAGGAACACCGGUGGCGAAGGCGGCCUGCUGGCCUGUAACUGACGUUGAGGCCCGAAGGCGUGGGGAGCAAACAGGAUUAGAUACCCUGGUAGUC
rnacentral:rRNA from 1 species